rnacentral:tRNA from 1 species
GCCUCAGUGGCUCAGCCGGUAGAGCGAUACCUUGGUAAGGUAUAGGUCGCGAGUUCAAAUCUCGCCUGAGGCU